rnacentral:tRNA from 1 species
AGUCGGGCCGCGGGCGGCCGUCGUGGCGCAGCCGGAGUCGGCGCCGGGGAUGCGAGCGCAGUACCGGAUGGAGGUUCCAGCCCUGCUCCGAGGC